rnacentral:rRNA from 1 species
GGUCCAGACUCCUACGGGAGGCAGCAGUAGGGAAUCUUCCGCAAUGGGCGAAAGCCUGACGGAGCAACGCCGCGUGAGUGAUGAAGGUCUUCGGAUCGUAAAACUCUGUUAUUAGGGAAGAACAUAUGUGUAAGUAACUGUGCACAUCUUGACGGUACCUAAUCAGAAAGCCACGGCUAACUACGUGCCAGCAGCCGCGGUAAUACGUAGGUGGCAAGCGUUAUCCGGAAUUAUUGGGCGUAAAGCGCGCGUAGGCGGUUUUUUAAGUCUGAUGUGAAAGCCCACGGCUCAACCGUGGAGGGUCAUUGGAAACUGGAAAACUUGAGUGCAGAAGAGGAAAGUGGAAUUCCAUGUGUAGCGGUGAAAUGCGCAGAGAUAUGGAGGAACACCAGUGGCGAAGGCGACUUUCUGGUCUGUAACUGACGCUGAUGUGCGAAAGCGUGGGGAUCAAACAGGAUUAGAUACCCUGGUAGUCCACGCCGUAAACGAUGAGUGCUAAGUG